rnacentral:rRNA from 1 species
AGCGAACGUUAGCGGCGGGCCUAACACAUGCAAGUCGAGCGAGAAAGUGGCUUCGGCCAUCAGUAAAGCGGCGGACGGGUGAGUAACACGUAGGUAAUCUUCCCUUGAGCGGGGGACAACGAGCCGAAAGGCUCGCUAAUACCGCAUAAGUUCCUAGAGACUCCGGUCUUUAGGAGGAAAGCUAGGUAGCAAUAUCCGGCACUCGAGGAGGAGCCUGCGUCGCAUCAGCUAGNGGUGGGGUAACGGCCUACCAAGGCGAAGACGCGUAGCUGGUCUGAGAGGAUGAUCAGCCACACUGAAACUGAGACACGGUUCAGACUCCUACGGGAGGCAGCAGGUGGGGAAUAUUGGACAAUGGGCGCAAGCCUGAUCCA